UGAGUAACCUGCCCUUCACUCUGGGAUAACUCCGGGAAACCGGUGCUAAUACUGGAUACGACCUACUCGGGCAUCCGAUGUGGGUGGAAAGAUUUACUGGUGAGGGAUGGACUCGCGGCCUAUCAGCUUGUUGGUGAGGUAAUGGCUCACCAAGGCGACGACGGGUAGCCGGCCUGAGAGGGCGAUCGGCCACACUGGGACUGAGACACGGCCCAGACUCCUACGGGGGGCA
rnacentral:rRNA from 1 species